rnacentral:lncRNA from 1 species
GUGAAGUUCUUGAUCCAAUAUUUCAGUGAAGUAAACCAAUGUGACAAGAAAAGAUUUGACAACAGCAUUGAAACUAAAACACAUUUUAAUUAAAAGGGUUGAAACAACAUAGCAAACAACAAUUACAAACCCACACUUGGAGUAUCUGUAGCUAUUGAGUAACCAACAUUUGGUAAAAUCUGCAGUAAAACUAGCAGAACUGGCUUUAAACUCACUUCAUUCUGCAUUCCUAAUAUCUUAAGCAACAUUGGAUAGUGACGACGAAUCACAAAAUUUUAAAAUGAAAAGAUCCAGUUCUCAAUAAACGAGGACCAGAGCAUUGUUUCACCACGUUAAUCUCAAAACUUCAAGCUCAUAUGUCAACAAGAAACUGAAAACCACAAAGAACAAUCAUAUAACAAACACACGCAAGAUCCUGUAAUCGCGGGAGAAAACAAAACAAUCAGAUUGGUCUUUACUCUAGUCAUAACUGUAAUUGUAUUAGCCUAGAUCUAUAAAAGAAAUCAGAGUUCAUUUCUUUAACAGAGAGGUGUAACGCUGAUAUAUAGAGACCAGAGUAUGGUUACAUUGAAACAUACCACACACUAACUUGAAGCUCAAAACUGAAUCUUUCAUGUUAACAAACAAACAUCAAUCAUACCAAAACACACAAGAUUGAUCUAUUACUCUAAUCAAAAGUCAAAACCUUUACUUGGUAAGCUGCAUCGAAUCUAAAUUUAUAAAAGAUUAGCUUUUUCUCUUUCACUAGUGUGGAUCACUUUACACUUUUGUUUCAGAACUAAUCACGAACCUUGCAUACCUAAUCAUGGAAGCGGAAGAUAACGAGCACAUUCAAAGUCUCCAUUGUUAGUGCAACAACGAAGACGCUUUCUUGUUUAAUUCAACGGAAAUAAAGGAACGAGCUUUCGAAUUCGUCCGAAUUUUUUUAAGCCCCGUAGAGUUUGAGAUUCCGACGUCGGGAAGCGCCGUCGAGUUAACGCUCCGGCGAUUAAGCUUACGAUGUCGUUUCAUUCUAUAUUGUUUCUUUU